UGCCAGCAGCCGCGGUAAGACGAACCGGACGAACGUUAUUCGGAAUCACUGGGCUUAAAGAGUGCGUAGGCGGCUUUGUAGGUUGGGUGUGAAAUCCCACAGCUCAACUGUGGAACUGCGCUCAAAACCACAAGGCUUGAGGAAGGUAGAGGUAGGCGGAACAGAUGGUGGAGCGGUGAAAUGCGUUGAUAUCAUCUGGAACACCGGUGGCGAAGGCGGCUUACUGGGCCUUUUCUGACGCUGAGGCACGAAAGCUAGGGUAGCGAACGGGAUUAGAUA
rnacentral:rRNA from 1 species